rfam:Enterobacter cloacae S611 EDP2.NODE_1923, whole genome shotgun sequence.
GUUCUGUUGAGGUUGUAACUGGUAAAGUGACAUUAGCCCGUUAACAUUGAAAACUGAGUUAGCGUGUAACAAUAAGCACAAAUCUAUCCAUGCAAGCAUUGACCGCCAUAACCGGCGGUUUUUUUUGCGCCAGAUAAAGCAAAAACGGCUUCUUACACAUAAUGUAAGAAGCCGUCGCGGUGGGGGAUUAUCGUCGUUCAUCAAUCG